GCUUCCACAGCACCCAUUCAUUCCCGGGGCAGACUCAGAGCGUCGCGCUUCUACAGAAUGUGGAUGGACUUCUGACGGUUUUCACGUUAAACAUUGACAAACUUUUUGAUUUCAGUAUAUUUCUCUAAACUGCACUUUUAUAAUUGAAAGAGGAGAUGUGGACUACCAGAGGGAUUUGCUUUUGUACGUAGCUGCAGAUAAGAAGCGGGGCUCUAUAGCACUUCCUCUUUCCAAAGCCUCACCCGGCUUGUGAUAAAAAGUCCCAAAUUUGGGCCGCUGUAAACAAAUACCCGCGUCUGGAUGGGGUAAGCCGCGAGUUCAGAGAGUUCUAAGCCCUGGGAAAGACAAAACACCCUUUGAGAGUCCUCUAGCCUCCACUGUUCCAGGAUCUGAUAAAUCUGCCUGAGAUGAUGUAACACGUUGCAUUCCCUGAGUAUUCUGGGCAGGGCUGGGUCUAGUGAUAUCUAGACACUACACAGCAACAGCCGGAGUGCUGAGGAUUCGGGAACAUUGGAAAUAUCAAGAAGAGCUGCGUGACUAACACAAACGUAGCCAUUGAGUAGGUGUGGAGUUUGAAGUCCUGCUUCUCUUGUUUAACUCUCACUGGUGCCCUCCAGGCAAAUGAAUCUUUGGAAAAAACACAAAAUUGGCACACAGCUUCUUAAAGCAUGUGUGCGAGUGUGGGAUGGUUAGAUACCUCCUUGUUUCUUUAUUUAUUUAAAAUGACCUUUCCGUACUGGAACAGAGUUCGCUCUUGGCAAUGUGAAGGUUUAAAUGUUGGAAGAUGUAGGAGGGGAGAGCAGCAGAAACUAAAGCCCAAGAGGGAAACGAGAGAGAGAGAGAGAGAGAGAGAGUUAAAUCAUAAGGAAAGAGAACUCAAGUGACUGCAGGGAGAGCAAGGCAAAGUAAAUGAAGCAGAACAGGUUAGAUGUGUUGAUAGGGUUUUGUCCUCAUUAAAAAAAGCCAAGUUCUGGUCUUCUGAACCUC